AUGAUCAUCACGGCGGCCCUAGAGGAGUGGAUAGGGCACAUGGCGGCGGGGGAUGCGGCGAAGAUGGCCCGCUUCAAAGAGAUCUGCGGGUGGUUCCCCGACAUGGACACGCUCCACGACGCGGCGAUUGGGAUCACGGUCUUGGCGACGGAGGCGGAGCGGGCGAGGAUGCUUGGAGAUGGGGCUCCUCCUAUCAAGAUCCUCCACUGGGCUAUGAUGGAGGCGGAGUCGCCGGAUCCGCGGCAGAGGAGGAGAUGGGCUGCAUAUAGAUCUCGUGUGUCGUCUCCCCCAAAUCCAGCGGAGUUUGUGGUGGGGGCGGUCAUGGUGAUCCUUGUACCGGGGCUGGUGGAGCAGCGGAUGCCAGGGAUGGGAGGAAUCGCCGUGCCUGCACCAAGGAGGGGGAGAGGUGUGCGCCCGAUUCAGAUGUCGCGCCGCUCGCCUCGCUUCCCUCGGCGCUCGGCGAGGAUUCGUGCACUUGCUCGCGGGUCUGGCGGGCAGUAG
rnacentral:rRNA from 1 species